rnacentral:rRNA from 1 species
UACGGGGGGGGCAAGCGUUGUUCGGAAUUACUGGGCGUAAAGGGCUCGUAGGCGGCCAACUAAGUCGGAUGUGAAAUCCCCAGGCUUAACCUUGGAACUGCAUCCGAUACUGGAUGGCUUGAAUCCGGGAGAGGGAUGCAGAAUUCCAGGUGUAGCGGUGAAAUGCGUAGAUAUCUGGAGGAAUACCGGUGGCGAAGGCGGCAUCCUGGACCGGCAUUGACGCUGAUGAGCGAAAGCUAGGGGAGCAAACGGG